GCCCGUCCACGGGGCUGCUCGCGCGACAGGAGCCGCCGCCGCCUCUGCCCCGCGCCCUUCCUCGCGCAGGUCCUCCCCGUCCGCUCCGGGAGCACUUCCAGUUGCAGGACGCCAUGCAGCACCCUGCAGAGUCAACACCAAGAUGGCUGAGAAGUUGCUGCAGUGGUUCCCGGAGGAGGGCGAGCAGGAGUGCUUCGCAGCCUCUCCCUUCACCUGCUACAACCUGCUUCCCCGAAUGUGAUGUUGGAGCUGGCCUGGAGGCACAACCUGGUAGACCUGGCCAUGACCUGCUUCACCCAGGUGAUGAGGGAGGACCUUAGCCAAGUUGAUGAGCUGUUUAAUGAGGUGACAGUGUCUAAUUUCAACUCCAUGUGUGUCAAAGCCCUAGGAGUCACUGUCUAGGCCAGUGAUGGCAAACCUAUGACACGCGUGUCAGAGGUGACACGCGAACUCAUUUUUUUGGUUGAUUUU